rnacentral:rRNA from 1 species
GGUUGUCGUCAGCUCGUGUCGUGUAGAUGUUGGUUAAGUCCGCAACGAGCGCAACCCUUAUUGCUAGUUACCAUCAUUAAGUUGGGGACUCUAGCGAGACUGCCAGUGAUAAACUGGAGGAAGGUGGGGAUGACGUCAAAUCAUCAUGCCCUUAUGACCUGGGCUACAAACGUGAUACAAUGGCUGAAACAAAGGGCAGCGAAGGAGCGAUCUGGAGCGAAACCCAAAAAAGCAGUCUCAGUUCGGAUUGAAGUCUGCAACUCGACUUCAUGAAGUCGGAAUCGCUAGUAAUCGCGGAUCAGAACGCCGCGGUGAAUACGUUCUCGGGGUUU